GAGUCACCACGAAGGCCUGGACAAUGCAGUCCCUGCGCUGCGGUCGGACAUGGGCAGGGCCCCACUUCCUCCUUCCUGCAGGGAUAUCCUUCCUUUCCUAUAGAAGAGGUAAGAAUGCAAGGUUCAUGUGAAAAUGUUAUUAUAUUCCUUAUCUCAGUCAUUCGGGCUUUGCCAUUUGGCGACAAAAAGUCCGCCUGGCCACGUUCACAAUAGAGGUCGCCCCUGUCCCUCGAUUUGGCUCUUGCUGUUUUCUCAGCUGAAGAGGGCAAACAGGCUGUUAGAAAUGUUGCUUGUUUUCCAGGAUCUUAUCAGGAGUUCAUGUCGAAGGCCAGACACAAAAGGGAGGGCUCCAU
rnacentral:lncRNA from 1 species